ACGUGAGGCUUGAUGAAAAUUGGGCCACUUUAAUAGCAAUAUUAAAAGUGAAACUUGGCUAUAUCGGGGAACGCCUUAUUAAAUUGAGGUCAAUCCCGAGGGAACCCUGAGAAAGGUCGAAGGGACUCCGUAGAGACUACACGCCAAGCAUCCUGAGCAAUGUCGAAUGGAUGAAGAGAUAGUCCGGCACUCUAAGUAAUUAGAGA
rnacentral:ncRNA from 1 species